GCCAAAACAUCUUUUAAAAUACAUAUGGCACACCAUAUAACACCCUCAGAAAUCUUCUGUUUUUGAAUUCAUAAGAUUGCCUUAUAAGCAUGAUUGCAUAAGAGUAGAAUUCAUAAGGUUAAUUUAUGAUUAUCAUUGACUUUGUUUAUGUGAAAAAGUCAUAAGAAAACCAUAUAACAUUCAAAAUGGAAAUAGCGAAGACGAAGAGCAAAGGGACAAUGUCCACCAGCAAAUGAAAAAAUAUUGUUUUAUCGAACCCCUGGGAGCCGGAGGUCUGGAUUCGAACUUGCUGACGACGGGGAGCGCGGAGUUUUGGCAUCGUACGUCAUCUGGAGCGUAGCGGAGCACGACAACCGGAAUGUGUUUGAACAACAAGCUGGUGCGGUGGAAGUUGCGACGCUCCGGAAAAGUCACGGUUUGUAACUUGGUCACCGGCCUCGUCAGAGACAUCCACUAGGAACUCCCGGAGAUAGAUCUCGGCAUGAGUUCUACAGAGUGGAUCCGGCGUGGCCGCCAAGAACGAUUGAAGGAAAACGAACAACGAUUUGACCAAAAGCAGGCGG